CCCCUGUGUAUGUGGGUGCCCACCAGGUUAAAUUCUUGGCAAAAAGAUAAUAAACUGGUACUGGUAAUGUGUUAAAUUGACAAGCUAAUUUAACAUCCUUUGAUGUUGUAUGAUAUAAUGUAAAAUAGCAUGAGCAUGAAAAAUGUGAAACAUUACCAGUUAACCAUCCAUUGCAUUUACUGGAUUGGGGUUUUAGAAGUAACCAAUCAUUAUCUGUGAGGUUACACAUUCCUCUAAUCUUCUCUAGUUUAGGAAUCAUUAGUGUGUUUUCUAAUGCCAAUCCUUGUUGUUGUAUCCAUAAAUACCUGAUGGCACAAGUACUCCAGUUACUUAGACCUCUAGUGAAUUUCAUAGUUGCAACAGUUAAAUUAUCUAAAUAAUUAUACAUUGAUUUAUCUAAAUCCAAUCCUCUAACCUGUGAUUUAACAACAAUUGGAGCCCAAUUUGCAGUAGCAUGAAAACCAGUCCCUAUAUGCAUGCUGGCUGUGUUUAACUUAUUCUUGAGGGUCUCCAUAUCUAUAACUAUUUAGUAUACCCAUAGUGGUUCCAGCACCUCCUAACAGUGUGUCAUACCAUUCCCUUUUCUGCCUUUGUUUGUUGUAUUACAUAAUGUUACAACAGGAGUAGUGAUUUUUAAUGACACAUGUACAGCUUGUAAGAAGGCAGUUGUAUUAAUACAUGUGGACGAAAUAGGUGUGUGUGUGUGUCGUGUUUGACUUUUGGUUCUAUGGUAGUGGAUAAAGGACAGUAAUAAGGUGUAAAAAUAUAAGGUAGUGUAUAGUUCUCAAUUGCAGUGUCGUUCAUAAUGACUAACAUUUGUCCCCUUCUCCAAUUAAUGAUACCAAUUAUAUAAUCAUUAUUAAAAGUAAUAAGGCCUGUCUAUUUACAUUGAUAUGCAACCUUAACUGUGCACAUUUCUGCGUUAUAAGAUCUAACAAUUUUCUGUGAACCUUUAAACAAACAUAAUGCAUCGGUUUCAUUAGCUGUAGACACAUUUCAUAUGGGUAACUGGUACUUAUAAGGGUUACUAUUUGUCCAAUUCAUCCAAAUGCGUUCAGUGAAUGAAUGAUUGCAUAUUGCAUGCUGAUAGAAAGGUGGUGGAGAAAGGUUCUUGAGGGGGCGUGUGUGACGAAUGCUAGAUGAGGGGCUAAGGCCUAAUUGGGCUGGGGGUAUUGAAGAAUUGUUCAUCAUGUCAGAGUCUUUUUCCAGAACUUGCCAUUGACUUGUACUCAUAAUGGCAUUCAAGGAACAAUAUCAGAGGGAGUAUAACAACUCCAGAAAGCAUAGCGCACAACAUAAU